UGUUCUUCAGUUUAAAAUCUUUCAGUAGUAAAGUCCAGACUCCCUCAUUCGAUUAUUAGGCUCCGAAUGACGUGGCCACCAAGUCCCUCCCCAGCCUCUUCUCUUGCCGUAUGUUCACACACUGCACUCUCUGCUCUGGCCAUAAUGACUUUCAGUUCCCCAAACCUAACUUUCUCUAGGAUUGCUGGGCCUUUGCCCACGCUGUUCUCUGCUUGGAACACCUUCCACUCUUCUUUUGGGUAACUCGAUGCCUUCUCCAGGUCUCACCUCAGCUGUCACUUACACAACCCCAUAGACAGGCUUAUCCCCAACCCUUGUCUGCAGCGUCCUCCAGGUGACUGUGUCUCCCAGGUGGGUAGCCCCUGAAGUAAUCCUCCACACUCCAUCACUGUCGGGCAGUUGGAAGGCUGGAGAGGUACGAUCCCCCAGAGUCGACCUAGAUCCUUGUGGCUUCAGCCCCCAACAGGUAGGGAGCCCACUAAGCUUCAGCUCUAGAGCAGAGACACAGACAAGGCUACUGGUGUGUGCAAAAUAUUGACUUGUGAAAAUUACAGUAUCCAAAACAUGAUUUUUUUCUAAAAGAGCUUUUAAAAUUUUGUUUUCUGAAAGUUAAAACCAGAAAAUUUGUGACAGGUUAAGGAUUUAAGGGGAUUUUUCAGUUAUGUGAUGUGAGGCUCUCUGUAGUUUUGUACCAACUAGAUUGUUCACUUCCUAAGAAUGAGGACCUCUCCUAUUCAUCUUUGUAAUAGGGACAGUGUCUUGCAGAUGAAAACAUCCAGUGACCCUACACUAGAGGAGAAGAAACUGGAACACAAAUUGAUUGAAUGUUCCCCAUGUGACAGAUUUAAUAAGGCUAAUGUUGGUGAAGUGGAGGCUGCGCAGGCAGUAAGAGGAUUCCCUUGUCUACUUGGAAGUGUUUAAUGCUCUAAUGCUUUCUAAGCAUGAGGCAUUUUCUUGAGCGCUGAAGCCUAGUAUCCUCAAAGCCCCCUUCAGGGAAACCUCAGUUCCUUGUCAGUCAAGGCCUGUCACUGGCUUUGCCUUGGCCUUCUCUGGGAGAAUGUCUGCUCCUUAAGUUGAUGGCAUACAUACUAUGCUCUUGGUGAAACAGAGUGAAGAGAGCCUAUGCAACUUAGGAAGAUCAUCAAGCAAACUAGGAUAAGCAUUACGGGAAUCCUAGAAGGAGCAAAGAAAGAAAAGGAAGAGAAAGCUUAUUUAAAUAAAUAAUGACAGAAACUUCCGAAAUCUGUAAAGGGAAAUGAAUGUCCAGAUCCAUGAGUCCCAAAGAGCCACAAAUAGACUAAAUGUAAAGAGAUUUCACCAAGAUACAUUAUAAUCAAAUUCUCAAAACUUAAAGAAGCAAUUUUGAAAGCAGCAAGAGAAAAGCAACUUGUCACACAUAGAAAACCCGUAAGACUGUCAAUAGGUUUCUCCGCAUAGCCCUUGAAGGCCAGGAGGGAGUGGGAUGAUAUAUUCAGAGUGUUGAAAGAAAACAACCAACCAAGAAUAUUAUACCAGGCAAGGCUCUCCUAUAGAAAUGGAGAAAGACUUUCCCAGACAAAAGCUCUGGGAGUUCAUCACCACUAGGCCACUUUACAAGAUCUGCUAGAAGGAGUUAUUCCAGUUGAAAUGAAAGGACGCUAACAUUAUGAAAACAUAUAAAAGUAGAAAACUCACUGUAAAGGUAAAAAUGUAGUCAAAUUCAGAAUACUACUACAGUGGUGGUGUGUAAAUCACUUUUAACUCUAGUAUAAAAGUUAAAAGACAAAGGUAUUAAAAAUAAUUGUUGCUAUAAUAAUUUGUAAGUGGAUACACAAUACAUAAAACA
ensembl:lncRNA